rnacentral:lncRNA from 1 species
AUCACAUACGCACACACCCUGCUCGCCACCUCACAUUGUGCCAUUUUCUGGGAGCAUUUGUUGGUCGUAACAUGGAUUUAACAGUCCAUCAAUCGUGCAUGUCUCUUUGCAAGGAGCCUUCCUCCUUUGAUUUAUCCACUUUACUUGAUGAUCGGAUUGUUUCUCCGGAGGGCGAACCUCGAUUUUCUGAGCCGGGAGAGACCCUCCCGAGCACUCAUUUCCCUCCAGGUACAGGUACAGUGGAGGCUCUAGCAGAGGAGGUGCAGGGCUUACGGGCCGAGUUUGUGCAGUUCAGGGUAGACAUGACGCAGCAGCUCGCCCAAAUUGACGGGAACGUGGCAGCGCUCCAGCAGAGUAUAUCUGAGUUGAGUGCCACGAUUCGGGCUGAGUUGCAGCGGCAACAUACACGGUGACAUCUUUCCCCUUCGUUGUUUUGUUUAGUGUUGAUGUUCUUGUUUUCUUGUGUUGUGUUGUUCUCCUCCUUUCAGCUUUUUCUUUGUUUGCUUGAGGGCAAGCAAAGCUUAAGUGUGAGGAGGUUGUGUCAGUUGUUGAGUCUUUUUAAUUUUAUUUUGCUUAAGUGUUGGGUUUGGUUUUGUGUUUUGUUGAGCCAAGUAUUGCUAGAUUGUGAUGUUUAUGGACAUUUCUUGCCUAGUGGAGUCUUGUUAUUAACUUGGUGAAUCAAUAUACUGUCAAGUGGUGAUUUGUGAUCUGAAAUUUGGAGAAUUGUUGAAUGAAAUUUGGGAUGACGAAAUAGGGCAAUAAUUGAAUUUCUUUAACCCUCACUAAAUGAGAUUUGAGCCUAAAAAUAGUAGAGCACUAUCUACUUUGAUUUUUCUGAGAGAAUUAUUCACAAGGUUGCGAUAUCAUGUGUGUCAUGUGUAAUAAAUGAUAGAAGGCACUAGGGUGAACCAAUUUUGGCCUGCGUUUCAUUGUCUGACCCGUACAUUAACCCCUAGUGAGCCAUUUUGAAGCCUUGACCAUGUUUUGUUCAUAUGAGUCACUUAAUAUUUAGCCAAGACCUGUUUUGACCAUCUUUUGGCCCUAUUGUGCAUGUUUAAAUUCGAAAAUUCAUCCUGUCUGAUUUUUAGAGGAAAUGAAGAUAUCUGUGAAGUUCAGUCUGCCCAAGUGGAACUCUGUGCUGAAUUUUCUGUUCUGAAAAGCUGGAGAUAUGGUCUGUUAGACCAAACGGAGGCAGAAGCUAUAACUGAUGGUCUAUGAUUGUUGUGUACUUUGAUAUGCGCUGAAAAAUUGGUUCAAAAAAAUUGAGAAACAAAGGUGCUGAAAAAGAAAGAAAAAAAAAAAAAAGAAAAAGAAAAGAAAGAAAAAAGGAAAAAAAAAAAGGAGUGCACCUAAGUGAGUUGAGAAUAUAUAGUUAAUAUAUGAUGCUCUUUUGUUCGCCCUUGGUUUUCCUCAGAUGCUUAUUGGUUAUGGAUGAUAAUUCGUUUUGAACAUGCAUGAUACCUCGUUCUUAUUUUCUGAAGCGUAGGUACCCUGUUUAGAUCCUUCCAAAAUCAAAUAAUGGUCCAUAGCCCCAUUACGCCAAAUGAGAAAAGACCUUCUUGAGUUACAAAGUGACCACUUUAUAUCGCGACUGCGUGAAACAUGUCUAUGUGUGGCUGUCCAGAAUUAGUGUAGGGAGUGAAUGAGUGAAAACUGUGAGCUGUAUUCGAUUUUGUCUGAUUUUGACCGAGUUGAUGAUAAGGAUCCAUUUUGAUGAUUUCAGUUGCUAAUUGACAGUUGAGAAUUGCUUUGUGAAUUGCAUGAUUUUACUUGGUAAGGGAAGUUUGUGAACAAAGACUAUUUGGUUGUACUUGGCUGUUUCGUGUGUCGUGUUUGUCGUGUCUUUCUUCUUUUAGUUUUCCUUUUUUAGUUGAGUCGUUAGUGUCGAGUCAAGGGGAAAGUUUGUUGAGAUUGCUAUUUCCACCUUUAGAUUUUCUUCACCUCAUACUUGAGGGCAAGUAUGAUUCAAGUGUGAGGAGGUUUGAUGUGUGCGAUUUAGUUAUCUUUUACCGUGUUAUUUUCCCGUUGUUUUGCUCGGAUAUUACCCGUUAUUUACACUUUUGGUGUAGGGAUUGCAUGGAUGGAGGAGAAAGCUUGAAGAUGGAAGAUUUAUUGAAAGUCGAGAAAUUGAUUGAAGAAGUUGGUGAAUUUUUGGAGAGAUUUAGAGAUUUGGGCUUUGGAGAUAUUUAUCUUGUAAUUUAAUUAAGCCAAAUACUCUUUUAAUUAAUUUUGGGCUUUAGUUUUUUGGAAAGGGCCGAAACCCAUGAUAAUUAGGGUGUUCGGCCACUUAAGGGUUAAUUCCCUUGUGUUUGAUUUAAAUUAGGACUCUAGUUUAGUGGAGCCGCAACUUUGGACUUUAGAUAUUUAGUUGACUUUGAUUAGGAGAUAUCAUAUACUUUUUCCUUAAGCUUUUGAUCAGCACGUUGAAUUUUGGUUUAAUGCAUGCAAGUUUUUAGUUUUAUGUUAUUACUUUUUUUCUAGCUUUGGAAUUAGAGAGGAUUGCGGCUGGAGUAUGUUCGACCUUAGCAGCGAUUUCUUUUAAUUUUCGAAGUGUGGUGAUCAGUUUAUUUCAAUUCCAUUUAUAUUUUCAUUUGUAUUUUUCUUGCAAUUUUAUUUCGUUUAUUUUGUGUUUGAUUAUUUUAUGAUUACUUUAAUUUAUUUGAUUGUUGUUAAUUUAAUUAUGAGUAACUAAACUUUUAAUUCGGCAAGAAUAAAGAAGCACUAAUUUAAUAAUCUGUGAGACCUAAUUGAGUCCAAAAAUUGAUUCCUAUUGAUUUUGAUUAAUUCCUAGAGUUUAAAGAUAAUUCCGAUUUUAUUUAAGUCUGGCCAACUUAGAUUUAAUUGGAUUACAGUCAAUUAGCACCUCUAAUCCGUAAUUGUUGGAAUAUGCAGAUAGUGAUAAAACUAUUAUGUUCGUAGUAGGAAUUAAUUGGUAUAUUAAUUAUUACUAGCGUAUCUAGGAUAAUUGAUAUAAAUUGAGUUCCUUCAUCUUAAUGCUAUUAGAAUAUUAAAUCUAAGACUGACGUAUCCAGCUAGGUUAUAUUUUAAUAAGGGAAAUAGAUAGGACUAACGUAUCUAGCCGUCUAUCGACACAGUAAGUAGGAAUUGGGGUAUAUCAGUGCGUAUCACGAUAUCCUAUAACUAAUUGGUUAAUAGGGAUUAAUUAAUUAUUGCGUCGAUGAUCAGAGAUUGAAUUAGUGUGGAUUUAUUUGAACCGAAUUACCUUUUUAUUGAUUUAUUUCAAGAAUAGUUUUUAUUUGAUUUAUUGCAUUCUUAGUUAAUUAAUAUUUUUCUCAAUUUAAGGCGUGGUGGCAUCACCGAUUUUAUAGAUUUAGGGAAUUGAAUGGUUUUAUCUGCUCUCUGUGGGAUCGACCCUGCUUAUCACGAUACUAAUUUAUUUUGAUAAUUCUGCAGAAAUUAUUUGGUGGUAUACGACGACCACCAACUACUAUGGGAACUUGAUAACAAGGAAUCCAAAGAAAGAAGCUCAUUGGGUUAUUCUAUUAAAUAUAGUUUUAUCUGAAUAAUAAUUUCAUAAAUCAAUGAAAAGGGAAACUGAAGCACAUAGGAAAAAAUUGGUAAUUUUAAAGUAAUAGUAUAAUCUGAGCAAGCAAAGAACUCACAUUUACUUUCUUCCAGUCAGCAGUCUAACCCCACUUUUUUGGCUCACUCACCUGCCAUGGAAAAUUGGGAAAAACAUACCGUCAUCACUGUUGUUAAAAUUUCAACAAGUAAAGAAAAUUUCACCAUAAACUGUGUAUAAGCCAUGACUUCUUGGAUCAAGAAUUCGAACUAUCAGUGUGCCUGUGUUGGCCUAGUUGUAGAAGAUUAAUACUUAUGUAAUACUUGUGUAGAAUUGAAUUGGUAAAGUAUGUGAACCCCAAAAUAUAAGGCAAAUCAUGUUUGAUUGCCAUCCAAAGCAUGCUUCAUAAAACAAUAGGAUCAUAACUUACUAUUAAAAAAAAUGAUCCAAAGAUGCUUAUUAAAAUUCAUAUAUAAAUUACUAGUUUCUUAUCUCGGAAUGUGCUUACACCCCAAAAAUAUGCUCAUAGCCAUUGAAGAGAAAGAAAGAGGAAAAUUUAGUGAAGAUCUUAAACAACACCUUCAAUCCCCAGUUCAAUGAAAACCUAGAUAGAAAAUUAUUAAAGCAAAAAUGUAAGGUAUCAUCUACUGCCCCUCGCCAUUAUUUUAAACCAAAAAAAUUAAGAAAAUAAACACAAUUAAACUAAAAUCCUCUGACCGGCGGUUCAGGAUGAUGCAGCGGCGGAGGCGGCGACUUCCGGCCGACAGCCAGCCGCAGAUCUGAGCACAGCAGCAGCGAACGGAGACGGCCGGCGUGCGGCGAGCAACGCCGGGCUGGUGGCUGGCAACGUAGAGGGUUGACUGAGGGACGCCGAGCUCGAGGCGACGUCGUCUCGUCGAAGGCGGCGUGGUCUGAUAGGCGAUUGAAGGAGGGGAAUUAAGGGUGAGAAAAACUGAAUUUGAAAAUAGGGGGAGCCACCACACAAUCA